CCGGCCUAAAAUCGACAGAGGUAGGAGACGGCUCAUCUGACGCCAUGCUAACGUCAUGGCUACCGAGGAGGAGCCCAUGCGAGGCAGCCGAGGAGGAGGGUCGGGUUUUGGCGGGUUCAGCCUCCGGAGCUUCUUCUCGUACCGGAUCUUUGUCUCGGCUAUGUUCUCUCUCCUCUUCAUUGCCACGCUCUCGUUAUCCUCACCACAAAUCCUUCAACUCCGCACCACGACUCUGUAUGUAUUGCCCCCUCUUCCCUAAAUCCAUUUUCUCCCAAUUAUUUAUUUAAUUAAUCAAGGUUUAGAUUGAAAUUUCGAAGCUUUAGCAAAACCCAGAUGUUAAUUUCACUGAUUAAUCACAACCCACGUUCUAAUUUUCACAUCUGAACAAAUCCUAGAUUGGAACAAAAAAAAGUAGGAAGAAGAAGAAGAAGACGGGAGUCAGAGAGAAGAAGAAGAAGGGAGUCAGAGAGAAGAAGUCAGAAAUUAAAAAAUUAAAUUGGGUUGCAGUGAGUUUCUGGCGAAGGGAUGGGAAGUUGCAGUGAGUUUUGGGGAGUUUUGGGGUUGGAGCAGUGAGUUUUGGGGUUGGGAUUCAACCACACCUAAGUCGGGUUUUUUGUGUGUGGAAGAGAUGGGAAGUUGCAGGAGAUGGAAGGGAAGAAGAAGUCAAAAAGUAAAAAUUAAAUUAUUAUUUUAUAAUAAAAAUAAUAAUAUUUUAAUAAAUUGACCAGCCUAUUUUUUUUUAGGGAUGGAGAUGCUUUGGUCUAUUACUGUUUAUU
rnacentral:lncRNA from 1 species